CCUUGUAGGAGAAAGAACACAAUUCAGUUGGGCUGACAUGGUAAAAUGUUGGCGAGAGCGGAGAGAACAUUGCGAAGUCGAGUGAUGAUCUCCUCCACCUCCUUUUCUUAGCUUAGUUAUGGACCACUGUCCGCGCACCUUGGCGGUGGAACAAGGAAUAACUAGUCCACACAAAGGUGCACCUAGCGAACAUCUAAGAUAAUUAAGGGGACUUGCGCCUGGUUUAGAGACAUCCGUAUUGAUUCCCGCAAGAUAUGGUCUAGAAAGACUCACGCAAUCAGCAGACAUUAUUUCGGUUCAUAUUUGCAUUUGAUAUGAGCAAAGGGGAAAAUGUCCUUGUCUGGAAAGAAAACCUCAAGUUGACUUCUUCGACAGCAAGAGCAGAGGGCGAGGUGGAUUAAGGGAUUUGUACUUUGAGUCGGAUGAGCCGUGCAGCAAACGGUUAUCGUGAACAGGGUCAGCGAGUUAAUACUUCACUGUCGGCCUGUAAGCGGAAAUCCAAUCUAGUAAUCAAAAUCCUACUGCUGUUUUUGCGUUUCGAACAUCCGAAAGGAAUCACAGUAAAUGUAGGUUAACACAAUAGUGUCAAUGAAAGAGUAGCGACUCGGCGCACUGGAUCGCGAAUACUUACCUUUGGCCCUGGUAUGCUGACAGGCACGAGUGUGUACGAUCCGCGUUCAAAAAUAAAUGGCAAACUUAGUAAGCGCUGUCUCACAGAUGGCGGUGGUGGUUCCAUAACGCCACUAAGAGCUCAUAUUUACGUCGUCAGAAUGUGGCCUUUAUAAACGCAGUCUAACUGAAUGUAUGGCUGAACUAAAGAUUGGAAAUCUCCGCGAGGUAGACCAUUCCUUACGUGCCGACUACAAGACUAUAAUUUAUGAUCUGCGCAGUGUAUGGUUGGCGAGGCAUACACCGGAUGUGACAUAAGGGUUGGUCACGCCUCGAGUAUGAGAGAGCGGAAGUAAGAUAGGGCGAGUAAAAAUACAGUAGAAAACUUUGUGCGCUUCGCUAACUUAACCUUGGGUUAUUUAGAGGAAGCUGAAUAAAGCUUCAAACAGCUGGAGAAAAAAGUACGAAAGUAAGGGUUGUCAAAAAUUAACUGUGGCAACCUCCUGACUAUUGAUACGUCACGGAAUCGUGAGUUUAAUGUACGGGUUUCCGGUGCGUAAAUGUUCCUUCUCAAAACACAUUAGAAAUUCAAGAACAACAGAGAAACUAAUGGUCCCUUCUCAAGUACAAGAACGGGCGCUAACACGACAACACUUAGACAACAAACAAGGAACUGAAGGAGAAGUGCUAAAGCCAUGGGGGAUCGAGUGUUCCCUUCCACACGAAAAAAAAAAUAAAAUAAAUAAACCCAGAAUCGGUAAUCGGAUAAAACCAGCAAUGACUUCUGAUAAAAAAGAUAAACGUACAAAACCCAGAUCGGAGGCACUCGGUUAGACUGAUUUGCUUUGAGUUCCUAAAGGUGCUAAAAAUAGAAAGUUCAUGGGAAGAUAUUAAGAGGCGUCUCCGAUUAUUGCGUCACAUCGUAUCCUAUAGCACCCCAGGAUGGAGAUAUAACUACUGUGAAUGCACUAGAGUGUGCAACCAUCGGGUUACCCUGGUUUCAGAGCCUCGAACGUCUCUCUAUUUUGGCCACUGAAUAGAGAGACGCUCGAGGCUCUGGGACCAGGGUACCAUGGGGUGUAACACGGGAUGGAACUGUUACAGUGAUUGAUGGACAUGACGCUGAUCCGCGGAUAAUUCCCGAGGGUGCAGAAGACUGCUAUUAAUUACUGUUAUCGACUUACAGGAUAUCAAAUACGAUUCCGAGAGGUCGAAACCGCCAAUGGGUAACCUUCAGACCAGACUGCAUAACUUGCGUUUUUAGGGGAAGCAAUACUCAAGCGCUUAGGUUUCAAAUAACGAAAAUAUAAUAACAAAAAUGUCACUGCACACAAGGAUGCUUUUGUCGUAUGCUUAGUAACGUUCAAUACGUGCUCCAAAUAAAAACACGGCGCAGCUUGAAGCCUA